rnacentral:lncRNA from 10 species
GGGCUUCAGUCUGUGAGUUUGAUCUCUUGCUCAUGUGUGCUGUCUUGUCCUUCCACCUUCCACUAUGGGAUGACACAGCAAGAAGGUCCUUGCAAGAUGUGGGCCCCUAUACCUUAGACUUUCAGCCUCCAGAAAGGGGAAGAUCCUGAAUGUGUUUCAUAUGAGUUCCCAAAUGGACCUGUGGGGACAGUGAGAGAAGGGCAGAGAAUCACCCUGGUUGACCACAGGAGCACUAAUCCCCUCUGAGACAAGAGAGCCACGUGGCCACACCUAACCAUGGGGACGGGAUGUGCCAACCUAUCACGGCCUGGAUGGCCAACUAGAAAGAUGUGGUGAGCAGCACUGAGACUACCACAGGUGGG